rfam:Endocarpon pusillum Z07020 unplaced genomic scaffold C718735, whole genome shotgun sequence.
GGUAAGUAUAAAAAGAAACUAUUAUGAAUAAAUAGCUAUAAACCAAAGGAAGCAAAGGAAACGAAACUUCCUUCAGAAAAAUCUAAGAGUAAUAAACAAAGUGAACUGAAAUAUCUUAUUAACUUUAGGAAAAUAAAUCAAACGAGAUUCUAUGAUUAAUGUGAAUUAAAGUAGAGCAGCUUCAAAGUAAAAUGGAAUAACUGUUUGAAUAAAGGGGAACCUUCCUCUAAAGCUAAAUAUGGUUUUAUAAGCGAUAGUUAAAAGAACCGUGAGGGUAUUUUUUUUAAUAGUAGUUUUAUAAGCAGCUUUAGUAAAACUUAAGUGAAUAAUAAAAGCGUACCUUUUGCAUAAUGGGUCAGCAAGUUAAUAUUAGAUGCAAGCAAUUAAAAAAUAAGUUGCCUAGGAAAAUCGAUUAUGUUAUGAUGAAUAAGUAUCUAAAAUUAGACCCGGAGACUAGUGAUCUUAUUAUUAUCAGGAAGAUAAAAGUCCGAACGGGUUAUCGUUGUAUAGAUAUCCGAGGAAUAAUGAUAAGUUAGUGAAAGACAAAACUGACUAGUUUAGCUGGUUUUCUGCGAAACCUAUAGAAGUAGGUAAUUUAAAUAACAUCUUAGCAGGUACAGAACUGUGAUCUCGAUCAAUUUAUAAUAAAUACAGUGGAAACAAACCCAGAAAAAGGUACUUAUCCAAAUGAUUGGAUUAUACUGAUGCGGGGUUUGUAAGCGACACUGGUAAUGAUAAUUUGUAUACAUCGGGGGAUCGUAAAGAUUUUAUCGGAGAGUUUUUGCACUCGAAAGGGUUAAGAUGAAUAUUAAAUAAUCGGACAUAGAAUGCUAAGGUUGUAUGUCUAAAGGAAAACAGCCCUAAACAAGAGUUAAUAAGGUUCCAAAAUUAUUAUUGAGUGAAAUAAAGGUUGUGCCUUCGAAUAUAAUCAGGUAAUAGGCUUAGAAGCGGCCAUUUGUUGAUGAUCUCGUAAAAGAGCACUGAUUUUAAACAAAAAAGUUUAAUUAGAAGAUCAUACCUAGGAUAUAUCGGAUCUAAAUAAUAUACCGAAACCUUGUCCAUAUUUAGAAAUAUAUGUUAUACCUACCCCUAUAUUGACCUUACGGUUGAUUAAAGGUAGGUACAGACCUACAGGUUAUAAUGCAGGUAGAGAUAUUAUAAAUAAGGGGUAGCAGAACAUUGGAUUUAAUCUUAGAUUUAUUGUUUAUAAUAAUAAAAAAUAAAGAGAUUCCAAUAGAUAAUGCUGAUAUGAGUAGCGAAAAAGAUAAACAAGCUCGCCUAAAGCUUAUGGAAUUUUAGUAAUUUUACGGUCUCUAAGAAAAAUAAUGCACCAGAGGCGACGUUUUUAAAAACCAUGUCCACCACGUACCUAAAAAGGGAUUAGAAUAUACGUUGGUUAGAAGACGAAGGUAUUUAACUAAAUCUAAAUCUGAGGCUGGCAGGCGAGGACGCAAUCUCCGCGUUUUAGUUAAAUACCUUUACCUUUUUUUUAAUCAAAAAAAGGUAUUUAUUCUGCUGUUAGAGUGCAUUCGGAAUUAGACCUAACACUCGCUUUGUUAAUUAAAUAUUGUUCCUCUUUUUAAUUUUAUAAACGGUAGUAACAGGAUCGUGCACGAUGAGGAAGAUGUCUAGAUAAAACUUUUUAGAUUAGUGUAAUUAGUUCAGGAAAAUCUAGGGAAAACUAUAACCGUACCUAAAAUCUACCACAAGUAAGCUAGUAGAGAAUACGAAGGCGUUUGAGUAAUCAAUCAUUAAGGAACUCGGCAAAUUGACUCACGUAACUUCGGGAGAAGGUGGGCCAUUUUUUAACUGUUUUUAUAUAAAAACAAUUAAGGAAGAGGAAGCAUGGAAUAGUGUUGUACGACUGUUUAAUUAAAACAAAGCACUCUGCUAAGAUGCAAAUCGAUAUAUUGAGUGUGAUGUCUGCCCUGUGACGGAAGAAUAACGGAUUUUCUUAACUUUAAAGUUAGGUUUUGAAGGAUACUCCGAUAAACGGCGGCCUUACCGAUGAGGGUCCUAAGGUAGCGGAAUACCCUGGCCGUUAAAUGCGGUCUUGCAUGAAUGAUUUAACGAUACAACAGCUGUCUCGAUGAUUGGCUCAGCGAAAUUGGAAUAGCAGUGCAGAUACUGCUUACCUCUAGAUAGACGAGAAGACCCUAUGCAGCUUUACUGUUACCUAUUUAGGCUAUAAUAUAAGAAUUCUUAGUGUAUAAGGUAAAUUUAAUCUUUAGUUGUUAAUUAACAAUGAGACACCUUUGUUUACUUUAUUGUGGUCUGUUGAUUGGAAGACAGUUUAUGCGGGGCACAGAUCCCAUAAACAGUACCUGGGUAUAUCCAAUAUUCUAAUUGUAUAAUUGCUAGUAUUAGUCAGCAGGUUAUUACAUAUAUAUUGAUUCAUUCUAUAUAUAUAAUGUAAUUGUUAAAUUACAUAUAGUUUGUUAUAAUUUAUAAAUUAAUAAUUAUUCAGUUAUUGUAGUCUUAAAUGCGCUAAAUUAAAUUUUAAUUAAGUAAGAUUUUAACUAUAAGGAGAAUAGUUGUAAGAAAAACAUUAAUUAAAUUAGUCUUGUUUUUCUGCCUAGUAUUAAUGUAUUAUUUAACCAUUAAUAUUAUUAUAUUGAUUAUUACUGUAAAAGUUUAAUGGCUUAAUCUUGCUUUACUGUUAGACCUACAAGUCCAUCAGUCGCGUAAGCGGGGCAUAUGAUAACAAGAUACAGAAAGGAAAGGUCUUGGAUAUAUGAAAAAGUUACGCUAGGGAUUAAUGUUAGUCCUCCCUUACACCUCAAAGUGGGGUAAUAAUCUGGAGAAAUUUCAAAAAAGACUUUUUGA